GUUUCAUAGGAAUGAGUUUGCUUCAUUCUAACAUUAUCAUCAUCAUCAUCAUCAUCAUCAUCAUCAUCAUCAUCAUCAUCAUCACUAUCAUCAUAAUCAUUUUAGUCAGCAGUUAGCACACUCUGUGUCCAGACUCCACUCUGGACCUUUGUACUGAAGAAUUUGCCACAAACUUACCUCUACUUUUACUGACUGAGUAAUGAACAAGAACCCUAACUUUGCAGCUGAGAAUUAAAGUGGUCUCAAAAUUUGAGUGAAAACCUGAACCUCUCUGACUCAGCUUCAUUCAGAGGGAG